rnacentral:rRNA from 1 species
CACGUAGGGCGCAAGCGUUGUCCGGAAUUAUUGGGCGUAAAGAGCUCGUAGGCGGUCUGUUGCGUCCGCUGUGAAAACUCGGGGCUUAACCCCGAGCCUGCAGUGGAUACGGGCAGACUAGAGGUAGGUAGGGGAGAAUGGAAUUCACGGUGUAGCAGUGAAAUGCGUAGAUAUCGUGAGGAACACCAGAGGCGAAGGCGGUUACCUGGACAGUUACUGACGCUCAGGCACGAAAGCAUGGGGAGCAAAAGGG